rnacentral:rRNA from 1 species
GUGCCAGCCGCCGCGGUAAUACGUAGGUGGCAAGCGUUGUCCGGAAUUAUUGGGCGUAAAGCGCGCGUAGGCGGUUUCUUAAGUCUGAUGUGAAAGCCCACGGCUUAACUGUGGAGGGUCAUUGGAAACUGGGAGACUUGAGUGCAGAAGAGGAAAGUGGAAUUCCAAGGGUAGCGGUGAAAUGCGUAGAGAUUUGGAGGAACACCAGUGGGGAAGGCGAAUUUCUGGUCUGCAACUGACGCUGAGGCGGGA